UAAUACAGAGGGUGCGAGCGUUAAUCGGAAUUACUGGGCGUAAAGCGUGCGUAGACGGUUAUUUAAGUCGGGUGUGAAAGCCCCGGGCUCAACCUGGGAAUUGCAUUCGAGACUGAAUAGCUAGGGUACGGUAGAGGGAAGCGGAAUUUCCGGUGUAGCGGUGAAAUGCGUAGAUAUCGGAAGGAACAUCAGUGGCGAAAGCGGCUUCCUGGACCAGUACCGACGUUCAGGCACGAAAGCGUGGGGAGCAAACAGGAUUAGAUACCCUGGUAGUCCACGCCGUAAACGAUGGGUGCUAGACGUUGGCGAGCUUGCUCGUCAGUGUCGCAGCUAACGCGUUAAGCACCCCGCCUGGGGAGUACGGCCGCAAGGUUG
rnacentral:rRNA from 1 species